UGUAUGCAAUAUUAACAGGGAAGACACAAGAGGUAUAUGUAGAGUUGCUGUCUUAUAUAAGAAAUGUAUUACCAUUAAUAUACAGCCAACUGACAAUAAUUAGUGACAAUGAAUUUGGAUUGAUGGAUGGGAUUAAGAUUAUAUUCCUUGAUAGCAAUCAAGCAUCAACUAUGUUAUUUCCAUUUUUAACAAGCAAUAGUACAUUAUUUUAGAAAUAAAAAGACAGCAUUUACAAUCUCAUUAAAAGAAAUCCAAUUGCUACAUGAGUGUUGAGAUUGGUUUAAGCUUUACCAUAUCUAACUGCUGUAAGAACGGACAACUUUCCUUCAGUGGAGGAUGGAUUUCAAACAAUUGUAGAUUAUAUGAAACAAUUUCCCAAUUUCACUAUGCAUUGUGAGGGAAUUUAUUUUAUUAUAUUUGGAUGUAUCGGUUUGAAACGAUGAAACCUACUGUAAUAACAGUUUACCAAAAAGAUAUUUGACAUUCGAAUCUCAAUGAACGCCAUAUAAACAAUUUUGCAAAAUUUAUGGGUAAAUAUUUAGGUACUUAAAUGACCAAUUAAAUAUUAGUACAUUUCUGAAUAUCUUCAAUCACUUAGUAAGUUGUGUUUUAAUUUUGUUCAGGCUUUAUUAACCCUGUACAUAUUCUUAGUAUGAAAAAAAAUAUAUUUUUAGACCGUAUUAGAAAGUAUAUUAUUUAGAUAACUAUUAUUUUGAAGUUAAAGUUUGGGUAGCAAGGUGUGACAGAACAUUUAAAACAGUGUCAAAUUUAUAAGAAUUAAUGUAUACCAAAUAUUUACCU